CCUGAGAACGAACUUGAGGAAUAAGGCUUCUGUCUACUACUGGAGACACUGAUAGUGUAAAACCCAGAGUCUUCGGUAAUGGACGGGAGCCUUAUUUCUAUCACUCAGUGUUUUCAU
rnacentral:pre_miRNA from 8 species